CGAAGGGUGCAAGCGUUACUCGGAAUUACUGGGCGUAAAGCGUGCGUAGGUGGUUCGUUAAGUCUGCCGUGAAAGCCCCGGGCUCAACCUGGGAAUGGCGGUGGAUACUGGCGGACUAGAGUGCGGUAGAGGGUGGUGGAAUUCCCGGUGUAGCAGUGAAAUGCGUAGAGAUCGGGAGGAACAUCUGUGGCGAAGGCGGCCACCUGGACCAGCACUGACACUGAGGCACGAAAGCGUGGGGAGCAAACAGGAUUAGAUACCCUGGUAGUCCACGCCCUAAACGAUGCGGACUGGACGUUGGGCUCAACUAGGAGCUCAGUGUCGAAGCUAACGCGUUAAGUCCGCCGCCUGGGGAGUACGGUCGCAAGACUG
rnacentral:rRNA from 1 species